UACGAAGGGGGCUAGCGUUGUUCGGAAUUACUGGGCGUAAAGCGCGCGCAGGCGGUUCUCCAAGUCAGUGGUGAAAGCCCGGAGCUCAACUCCGGAACUGCCAUUGAAACUGUUGAACUUGAGGACGAGAGAGGUGAGUGGAAUUCCCAGUGUAGAGGUGAAAUUCGUAGAUAUUGGGAAGAACACCAGUGGCGAAGGCGGCUCACUGGCUCGUAUCUGACGCUCAGGCGCGAUAGCGUGGGGAU
rnacentral:rRNA from 1 species